UGGGAAUGAACGCAGCGUGGAUGAUCAAACUGCGGGGGUCCCACCUGGAUGAAUGAUGUGCAUGGAGAGGGCCUGAAUCCAGGAAGCAUUGACCGACUUGGAAUGCAGGGAGUUCUGGAACCUGGCAAGAGAAAGGGUUAAAGCCCCUGGAAGAGGCCGGGCUGGAACCAGAGAAGAAAAGCCGAAGGAUGUGUUCUCCGGAGUCUGGGAGGUGGUCAAACUGGGUCUCCAUUCCUGUGAUGACCUGGGUAAUUGCGGAGAGUUAUCCAGAUAAUCCACCCCCAUCCCCCCCAAUCGCUUUGCCUUGAAGACCCGCACCUGGACUGUACUGGGAGCAAACUGAGGCUCAGAGAGGAGAGGGACUUGCCCAAGAUCACACAGCAAUUUUGUGCCAGAGCCUGGGCUGGCACAUAGCUUGCCCGACUGCCUAUCCGUCAAGAACCCCUGUAGGGCUUGGAAGAGGAGGCAGCUGGUGCCGGUGCCCAGUGCAGCCAGCACAGAGAGCCCCAGGGCCUGGCUCUGGGAUGCUGACUGUGGGCACAAUCACUGGGGGGAAGACACCCUCCCUUUCCAAACAUAUACACUUCCUGUCCCUCAGGAGUUGGGAGCAGCCUGGAGAGGAGGAGGAGGAGGAGGGAGUCCUCCCCAAGGCCUUGGAAACCCUGAGUAAUGGACAGGGGAGCCUCUGCCCUUCUCCACCCAGGGAUGGCUGUUGUCUGUAGCAGGGAGCAGGAACCCACCCACGUGGGAGGAAUGGAUUUCUUAAACAGAUGCUGAAAGAGAGCCCAGAUUCUGAAGCUGGCAGGAGAAUUGGGGCUCCGAGAAAAGUAAAUAAUAGUGUAUUAUUUGUAAUAUAAUACUGUCUUAUAUGUAAUGUAUUAUAGCUGUAUUGUAUUGAGCACUUAGUAUGUGCCAGGCACCACUUCACAGUUUGCCUCAUUUUAACCCCUACUGCAAGUGUAGGAGGCAGGUAUUCAUAUUCGAACCACUUUCUCUUUGUUUUGUAAGUGGUCAAGAAAGUAUAUUUGCAAAUAAAAGCAAUAGUUCCAGUGCUAGAGAGUUUCUACAGGUCACCUGAUCCCAGGAUAUUGUACCCACUUUCCAGGUGAAGAUACUGAGGCUCUAGGAGCUUAAGUCACUUGCCCAAGGUUGCCAGUAAAGAAAGCCCUUUCUGGGGGAUUUCUGUGAAGGGAAGACCUCUGGGUUUCCUUCUUUCCUUCACCAAGUCCAAGUUUUCAUGCCAGCCCAGCCUCCUUCUGCCUUCCACCAUUGCCCCUGCAAGCUUUUGUGCAGGUUACCUCCUUACCCUGGAUGUCCCUUCUCUCUUCUAUUCUCAGUCUUCCCCAUCACCUCCUCUUCUUUGAACCCGAGGCCCCUCUUGCCCCAGAGGCUGAGGAAUAUCUGUGGAGAUAAAUUCCAUGUGCCGCAGCACUUAGACCACUAACCCAGGCAGGUUAAGGAAAAGCAGGUUCUAGAGCUCAUUGCAGAACAACAAAACUUUUCCCAAGAAAAGUGGUUAUGUGCUUGGUAAUGCCUCCCCCAUGCUCAUCCAAACACGUACACACACUUACCCCAAAAACAAGAGUCCCGGUUGUGGUUAAAAGGAAGAAGACAUUUCUUGUGGUUCGGGAUUGUCUUACUCUCAGCUUCCUGGUGUGGGGAGGGCUACAUCAUGGUGGCAGUGUUGGGGUGGGGGUGGUCCUUGUUGAUAAAGGAAAGGGAAAAUGGAAAAGAGUAUCUAGUGGAUUCAGAGGGCACCCGCAGCUGAAGACUCCAGCUUGACGAGGUAUAAGAGAAAGCCAGUUCCCAGAGUCCCAGGGGCCUCUCAGGGGUCCCUAGAGGUCACACCUCCCCCUUGGAGCUCUCCUCAGCCCUCCAGAUUUCCUGCCUUCAAGGCUUGCUUCCUGCUCAAGUGGGGCCUUGAGUGUGUUAUGCUCAGGUGAGGGGCCCCCUCCACCCAGCAUUUUGAGGCCUGGACAUGGGUUUGGGGCCCCAAGGGUGUAUGAAGUAUGCUUCUUUCUAACCCCAGGACCUAACAGCCUCCUUCCCAGAGCCCAUCACAAGCAUUAAAAAGUGGGGCUACUGCCUCAGGGAAGAAAGAGCUACCCAAAUGAGCCAAGGGCUCCAUCUUUGAAGCCAUCUGUGGUACAGGAUCUAGGGGAGAUUGGGGUGCGGUGGACUUCCAAGGAGCUGCUCAAGCCAGGCUUGAAGUCACACUGGCUUCUUGGGGUGUCUGACCCUUGAGUAUGAUUUCACCUGGAACUGGGAGGCACAGCUGGCACCUUUGGGCUUGUUUCUUUUGGGACCUUGAAGGGCUCACACAGGAUACCCGCCCCCUCACAGUCCCCUCUCUUCUUCUCCCCUCCCCCACCCCUAGAGGGAAUGAUGGAGAGGGGUAGGUGCCGUGACUUGGCAUCCAUUUGGCAAGUACUUCUCAGGGACAGGCAAGAUCAAAGAUGACUAUAAGUCCUAAUCUUAGGAAGAAAGAUAUAUAUAAAAAGAAAAAACCCACUCUGGUGCAGUAAGGAUCUCAACAAGCAUAGCUUACACACCAGGCACGAGCUCUGCACUCAACCAUGAGAGAGGAGUGGGGGGCUACAGGGCCUAAGGGAGGAAGGCUUCAAGGUGAAAGUAGUCAAAGCUUUGAGCGGGGUAUGUGUGGCAGGACAUCAUCCUUGCCUUCUGCCUGUUUGCUGUGUCUCUCUGUCCCUGACUCCUGUUCAGGGACCCUGGUUUCCUCUCUGUCUGGUCUCUCUGCCUCUGUCCCUCUCGGGAGUCCUCGGUCACUGCUCCUAGUGCCCAUCUCUGCCACUGCCACCUCUUUCUGUCUCCCUCCCCACCCUCAUCGGACUUUGCUUCCCCUUUUGUUCGGGAACCAGACUCCUCCAAGUGCCCAGGCAGCAGUCCGGGUGGGGGCUGAUGCCUGACGCAGGUCCUCCAGAUAGCAGGCCCUGUGAUGGGAAGAUGGGCCCCUCUCUGAGCCCCUCUUGGGGCCCCAUUUCUCUGAGUAACAUCCUGAGAAGAAUGCUCCAUCCCUCACCCACCCUAGUCUCCCGCUCUGCCCCUCAAAUCCUCCCCUCUUCUUCAUCUAAGGAGGACCCACCUCUUUUGGGGAACAGCCCCACAUGGAGCCUCCGUCAGCCUCCCACCUGACGACUCUCAAGAUAGGGAUAUGGUUUCAUCCCAAGUCUGACCCCAAGCCUCUGCUGAGGGAUCUCACCCCUCCCAGGUCCUGUGACAGCUGACCCAGUACCAGUUUGGUCUCUGAUUUCUAUCCAACGCCCCACCAAGGACUCGCCUCUCAACAAGUACCUUCUGCCAUUGAGGCCUCCUCCCUGGGAAUGUGGGACAACUCCUCACCCUGCCCCCAUUUCAAAAUAAAUAAUUCUGCCCGAUGAGCCAGAGUCUGCCUCUUUUCUCUGUCCCAAAAGAGAGAGACAAAAGGCAUAACUCUGAGUGCUUUCAGAUGCACUAUUUCAUUCCAUCAUCACAGUGGUCCCGAAAAGAUGAAAAUAUGUUCAAUUUUGUAGAUGAGGAGACUGAGGCGCAGGGAGAUGGCUCCUUACCGAGGAGGAAGAGUGAGGAUUUGGUCUCGGGUCUGAGUCUGAAGCCCACAUCUCUUUCUCAGAGCCCCACAGUGAUUUCCUGGAGGCAGAUCAAUGACAGUACCAUGGACCAUGGACGGGAGAGAGGGAACUGGCAAGACCUUGAACUCUAGCAUUUGGGGCAGGCUUUUGCCAGGUUUUCUUUGAAGACUUGGGGCCAACUGCCCUCAUGUCCCUGUCCUGAAACCUCAUUCCCCCCCCCAAUGUUGCUCAAGCCUAGACAGGCAAACUAGCCCCCCAAUUCUCCUGCCCA